AACGAACGCUGGCGGCAUGCCUAACACAUGCAAGUCGAACGAGACCUUCGGGUCUAGUGGCGCACAGGUGCGUAACGCGUGGGAACCUGCCCUUAGGUUCGGAAUAACUCCCCGAAAGGGGUGCUAAUACCGGAUAAUGUCUUCGGACCAAAGAUUUAUCGCCUUCGGAUGGGCCCGCGUUGGAUUAGCUAGUUGGUAGGGUAAAAGCCUACCAAGGCGACGAUCCAUAGCUGGUCUGAGAGGAUGAUCAGCCACACUGGGACUGAGACACGGCCCAGACUCCUACGGGAGGCAGCAGUGGGGAAUAUUGGACAAUGGGCGAAAGCCUGAUCCAGCAAUGCCGCGUGAGUGAUGAAGGCCUUAGGGUUGUAAAGCUCUUUUACCCGGGAUGAUAAUGACAGUACCGGGAGAAUAAGCUCCGGCUAACUCCGUG
rnacentral:rRNA from 1 species